UACGUAGGUGACAAGCGUUGUCCGGAUUUACUGGGCGUAAAGAGCGCGCAGGCGGUCGAUCAAGUCGAGUGUGAAAGCCCCCGGCUCAACUGGGGAGGGUCAUUCGAUACUGAUCGACUCGAAGGCAGGAGAGGGUAGUGGAAUUCCCGGUGUAGUGGUGAAAUGCGUAGAUAUCGGGAGGAACACCAAUGGCGAAGGCGACUACCUGGCCUGUUCUUGACGCUGAGGCGCGAAAGCGUGGGGAGCGAACAGG
rnacentral:rRNA from 1 species